GUGAGAGCAGGCAGCUGUAAGGACAGAAUAGGAAGUGGUAAGGGCUGGAAGAAUAAAAGCCAGAGCUGCUAAGAUCAGGGUUCAUGGACUGGAACCUGGUAUAGAGAUUUGAGGAUACCCUGGAAGUGGGGAGAACUUUAAUGGGACUUGGCUGAAGGACUAAGCUAUGAAGAGGAAAGUGCUGCAGCUCCCAGCAUGUGAGAAGCCACAGAGUAAGUGAGGGGAAUGAUGGUCUGAGUAACUGCAGGAGAGGGCAUCAGAGCAGGGGGUUGCAGAGCUAGUUCCCCAGAUGAGCCCCAAGGAGGUACUGCUGAUUGGGAAGGGCUGAAGCAAGAAUGGAUUGUGACAGCUACCACAAAAGAUAAGUCACAUGAAUGAGUGCUCUUGAACUAUAGAACUUUCUGCAACAGGAACUAUGAACUGCCACAAGCAUUCCAGUUCAAGGCCACCAUGCCUGCUCAAAGAAGAAUAUCACAUAUGGAGAAAGAACGGUACAGAGAACAUGAGUGACUUACUCAGUGGCAGAGCCAAGAUGAGAACCCAAAUGUCCUGGCUCUAAGUCCAGGAACUCUAUCCAGCAGAUCACUUUGCUUCAUGACGAUCCCAAGAGGGCAACUGGAAGAAAAGUCCUUAAGUGUCAGUACAGCACAAAAACUAGGGUGACCACAGAAUAGAAUAUGCUGAAUACGGGAAAACUGGUAAAAUUACUCAAGUUCGACGGCAAUCAAUCAGAACUAUAAGUACAAAUGUUAAAAUUGACUGAGCUCCUGUUAAAAAGAAAUACUGCAUAGUUGGAUUCCUUUAAUUUACCUUCAUAUCUUUAAGGCUUUAGGCUUCACACAGGGAGAGGUGACAUACACACUCCUACCCCCCACAUACACGGGGAGAGGUGACACACACACCCUGUACACCUCUCUCACACAGUGGGGGUGAUUGACUGACAUGACCCUCUCUGCCUGGCCAUCUCCGCCCUUCAUACCUGGCUGGGCCCCCAGGAUGGACCUGCCU